GACGAACGCUGGCGGCGUGCUUAACACAUGCAAGUCGAGCGGUAAGGCCCUUUCGGGGGUACACGAGCGGCGAACGGGUGAGUAACACGUGGGUGACCUGCCCUCAGCUCUGGGAUAAGCCUGGGAAACUGGGUCUAAUACCGGAUAUGACUCCAUGACGCAUGUUGUGGGGUGGAAAGCCUUGUGCGGCUGAGGAUGGGCCCGCGGCCUAUCAGCUUGUUGGUGGGGUGANGGCCUACCAAGGCGACGACGGGUAGCCGGCCUGAGAGGGCGACCGGCCACACUGGGACUGAGACACGGCCCAGACUCCUACGGGAGGC
rnacentral:rRNA from 1 species